rfam:Lottia gigantea unplaced genomic scaffold LOTGIsca_73, whole genome shotgun sequence.
UAAACAGCCCUUUUCAGGGCCACCAAACUCUCUCAAAAGAGUGAAUG